CUAGAAAAUUCCAUGGUCGAUCAAGAGCAGCGAUGUUGUGUUGAUGAAGAGCAGGGUCAUCAGGGUGUUCAGGAUGCCAUCAAAUUAUCUCAAGAUUGGUGUUCUUGCAGCUCUAGAUUGUCACCCACUGGGUGGAGCUCGGUUAACCAUGGAUUUGCGGCAAGAAGAACUCACGCCAAGAUUAAUUUGUUGUUAAUGAUGUCCUGCUGGCUCAGCUCUUCUCCACGGUAUUCUCAUGGCCGGCCUAAGGUACAAGCGGAUACCAGCAGCACUGGGGCUCAUACUGGUCAGCCAGGUCCUGGCAGUGCCCAGGGACAAAGCAUCGAUGACGGCAAACUUGCUGACUCUGCACUGUCCUAGAAUUUAGGGUGGAAGCCGCAUAGGUGGAACGACAAUGCUGUAGAAGUAUGAUAAAGAUGUGUCUAACAAACAACUCCGCUUUAUCCUUUACGUCCACACA